CACNCCGUAAACGAUGAGUGCUAGGUGUUGGGUCCUUUCCGGGGCUCAGUGCCGCAGCUAACGCAUUAAGCACUCCGCCUGGGGAGUACGACCGCAAGGUUGAAACUCAAAGGAAUUGACGGGGGCCCGCACAAGCGGUGGAGCAUGUGGUUUAAUUCGAAGCAACGCGAAGAACCUUACCAGGUCUUGACAUCCCUCUGACCGCUCUAGAGAUAGAGUUUCCCUUCGGGGCAGAGGUGACAGGUGGUGCAUGGUUGUCGUCAGCUCGUGUCGUGAGAUGUUGGGUUAAGUCCCGCAACGAGCGCAACCCUUAUUGUUAGUUGCCAUCAUUGAGUUGGGCACUCUAGCGAGACUGCCGGUAAUAAACCGGAGGAAGGUGGGGAUGACGUCAAAUCAUCAUGCCCCUUAUGACCUGGGCUACACACGUGCUACAAUGGCUGGUACAACGAGUCGCAAGCCGGUGACGGCAAGCUAAUCUCUGAAAGCCAGUCUCAGUUCGGAUUGUAGGCUGCAACUCGCCUACAUG
rnacentral:rRNA from 1 species